rnacentral:rRNA from 1 species
ACGCUAGCGGGAGGCCUAACACAUGCAAGCCGAGCGGUGGAGAUUCUUCGGAAUCUUGAGAGCGGCGUACGGGUGCGGAACACGUGUGCAACCUGCCUUUAUCAGGGAGAUAGCCUUUCGAAAGGAAGAUUAAUAUCCCAUAAUAUUUUGAGUGGCAUCACUUAAAAUUGAAAGCUCCGGCGGAUAGAGAUGGGCACGCGCAAGAUUAGAUAGUUGGCGGGGUAACGGCCCACCAAGUCAAUGAUCUUUAGGGGGCCUGAGAGGGUGAUCCCCCACACUGGUACUGAGACACGGACCAGACUCCUACGGGAGGCAGCAGUGAGGAAUAUUGGACAAUGGGUGAGAGCCUGAUCCAGCCAUCCCGCGUGAAGGACGACGGCCCUAUGGGUUGUAAACUUCUUUUGUAUAGGGAUAAACCUACCCUCGUGAGGGUAGCUGAAGGUACUAUACGAAUAAGCACCGGCUAACUACGUGCCAGCAGCCGCGGUAAUACGUAGGGUGCAAGCGUUGUCCGGAAUUACUGGGCGUAAAGAGUUCGUAGGCGGUUUGUCGCGUCGUUUGUGAAAACCAGCAGCUCAACUGCUGGCUUGCAGGCGAUACGGGCAGACUUGAGUACUGCAGGGGAGACUGGAAUUCCUGGUGUAGCGGUGAAAUGCGCAGAUAUCAGGAGGAACACCGGUGGCGAAGGCGGGUCUCUGGGCAGUAACUGACGCUGAGGAACGAAAGCGUGGGUAGCGAAC